GAGUCAUCAAGUUGGAGGACCAGAGUCUCGCCGUCUUUCAUCACUUCUUCCAUUUCUGUUUUCAACAAUAAACAAUAGCAUCUCAUCAUCUGUAUCUGCGCAGGCUCAGCACCUAACCCACAACCAGACCCUGUUCUACCCUCUUUUGGGUAGGAGCAAUUACAGAGAAAAUGACGAGGAGGAGUUCUGUUUUGUGGAGUUUUUUUGAAGUUGAAACCAGCGAUGGGGUGAAGCUCCAUAGGCGAAUCUUCAAACCAAGAGGGGAACCUGAGGAUAAUUUGAUAAUUGUACAGGUAAGUCGACCGGGAGAGCUCCUCUCAUGGGUUCUUCCGAAACCCGUGGUCUUAUCGCUGUCGGCAAAUGGGUUUGUGAAAAUAUGUCCACUGAUAGGAUUUUGUUGGUGGGUUCUUCUGCAGUAACUGUUUAUUCCCACCAGGCAAUUGAGAUAGAAUGUUGGGAUGUGCACUGCAUGGGCAUAAUCUAAUUAGGUUAUCGGUAUAAACUUACAAAGGUGCUUCAAUUUCAGAAGCUACUGUUCAUCGGAUACAAGAAGUUGUUGGCUAGUGAAUUUGGGGUACCUCUUUGGGAUGGAUAUGCUGAUGUCAAGCAGUUUGUGAACAAACUGAAAUCUGUCACAGGACGAGCUGAGACCCAUCUAAUUGAAGGAGUUGGGCACAGAUGAUGGUUUGAGUCUUCAGUUCAUUGCAUCUUUGUCACAUUAAUUAAAAAAGCACAACCCAGUGCACGAGGCUCUUGCUACUGUAAGGUCUGAGAGAGGCAAGUGUACGCAACCUUACCCCUGGCUUCGUAGAAGAGAUUGUUUUCAAGUUUUGAACUUGUGACCAACAUGUUACAAUGAUGCAACUUAACCGUUGUGUCACAAGCUUGCCCACUCCUUGUGACAGUAAUUGCAGCAUAUAUUCAUUUAGUUUCAAGUGGUUGCAAAA